rnacentral:misc_RNA from 1 species
UGGCCGAGGCUGUUGUUUCUGUGGAUGUUCAAAGAAUUGCUGAUUUGCUCAUACAAGAAUCAGUUUUUCUACAUGGUAUGCAUGAUGAAGUUGAGCGGUUGCAUGCUGAACUCAAGCGGAUGCAGUGCCUCUUCAAAGAAGCAGACCGUCGUCAAGAUCAAGAUGAGCGCGUUCGCAACUGGGUAACUGAAAUCAGAGACCUCUCUUAUGAUGCUGAGGAUGUCAUCGAUGCCUUUCUUCUUAAAGUUGCAAGGGUCAGAGGAGAAGGUGUACGUGGAUUCAUUAAGAGGGUUUCCUUCAAGUUCACUAAGGCUUUUCAUCUCCAUGAAAUAGGAACCCAGAUCUCAUCUAUCCGAGCUAAGAUUGGGGAUAUAUCCACAAGUAUGCAGACUUACGGUGUCAAACUUGUUGAGGGAGAGGGGCCUAGUUAUGGGAAUGAGAAACAACAACGAUAUAGAAGAUCGUUUCCACAUGCUGAGGAAGAGUUUCUCAUUAGCUUGGAUGCUGCAAUUAGCGAUCUUAAAGCUCAAUUGAUGAUGAAGGAAGAGCGAAUGCGUGUUGUUUCCAUCGUGGGCAUGGGAGGACUUGGUAAAAUGACUCUUGCUAGGAAAGUAUACAAUGUUACUAAAGUGAAGCAACAUUUCAAUUGUUAUUCUUGGAUCUUCAUAUCUCAGCAAUUCUCCAUCAAGG